GUACACUCCUGCGGGAGGCAGCAGUGGGGAAUAUUGCACAAUGGGCGCAAGCCUGAUGCAGCCAUGCCGCGUGUGUGAAGAAGGCCUUCGGGUUGUAAAGCACUUUCAGCGGGGAGGAAGGCAAUGCGGUUAAUAACCGUGUUGAUUGACGUUACCCGCAGAAGAAGCACCGGCUAACUCCGUGCCAGCAGCCGCGGUAAUACGGAGGGUGCAAGCGUUAAUCGGAAUUACUGGGCGUAAAGCGCACGCAGGCGGUCUGUCAAGUCGGAUGUGAAAUCCCCGGGCUCAACCUGGGAACUGCAUUCGAAACUGGCAGGCUUGAGUCUUGUAGAGGGGGGUAGAAUUCCAGGUGUAGCGGUGAAAUGCGUAGAGAUCUGGAGGAAUACCGGUGGCGAAGGCGGCCCCCUGGACAAAGACUGACGCUCAGGUGCGAAAGCGUGGGGAGCAAACAGGAUUAGAAACCCCAGUAGUCCCA
rnacentral:rRNA from 1 species